rfam:Medicago truncatula strain A17 chromosome 4, whole genome shotgun sequence.
AAAGUGGAGUGCAGCCAAGGAUGACUUGCCGGUAAUAUAUCUAAUUCCUUGGUUUCUUCCGGCAAGUUGUUCUUGACUACAUUUUGCUUUUU